rnacentral:sRNA from 1 species
GCUGGGCACAGUGGCUCAUGCCUGUAAUCCCAGUGGCUUGGGAAGCAGAGGCAGGAAGAUUUUGAGUUCAAAGCCAGCCUCAGCAAAAGCAAGGCGCUAAGCAACUCAGUGAGACCCUGUCUCUA